UUUCCGGCCGACCCGGAAGCAGCUCUUCUGGCUCGAAGGCCCGUUACCUGGCUUGAGUUUCAGUGUUUCUCGUUCAAACUCGCUCUUGGAUGCCCUGAGCGCCGCGUCCUCCACACCCGGAGUCCGGGGCCCCUCGACCGCUACCGUCGCCGCCCGCGGGGAGCCCCGCCUAGUCGGGGGGAGCUCUGCUGCCGGGGCCGGACCUGAAUCUGUUCCGGGACUCUGACCUCCUGGGAAGAAGGCCAGACUCAGGGACCAUGCCCUGCCCACCAGCCCUCCAAAGCUCCACCUACUCUGAACAAGGAGACUAGAGCACUUUCUCAGCCCCGUCUUGCUGCACUUUCUGCCAUGCUCCCCCCUACAGCCUAGAGAUCUGAUUGAAAGUACUCUCCUCCCUGCUGGGUGACUCACAGAGGAAAAUAAGAGGAAACAGUGCCCAGAAUCCAGCUAUCACGCCACCCACCCACCCACAGACAUUUAAAUAACCCUCCAGAUCCUCAGUCCCCUCAGCUCACCCUAGAAGAUUCCAGUUCCUCAUCAGAGUGCGUGCAUACAGCGGGCAGAGAGCAAAACUCGAGAACCACCCUGGCACUACUUGUCUCUGUGAUGCCGAAGACAUUCUCCUUCCUGUGUGUUACAGAGAAGAUUCAAAUUUCCAGAGUUUGUAAGCUUUGGAAGAUGCUAGCUGAACAUUCUGCACUAUGGAGAUGUGUACCUGACACCUUACAGGGUUGAAGGCAGUUGAUUUUUGUCGUUUGAUCAUCGGAAUGCUUGGGUGUUGCAGGGAGAGGCCCCGGUUGUCAGGCAUCUCUUCCAGAGACACGUGAGAACAGGGUUACAGUCACUGAGUGCGGGGCUCUACGUGAUCUGAAGCAUAAAGCCUUCUGAAAUCAUUCCAGCUUUAAUUAAGGAAGCUGGGAAGAGGUGCCCUCACCAAACUGAACUCUAGUUGCAUGUUCUAUACUUGAGGAAAUUCCCAAUCCCCAAACUUCCCCAAUCCUCACAAGUGUAGAACUAUACAACUGUGAAAUUUCAGAGUCACGGAUCUUCAAGGGAAGUGACUUCUCUCCACUGCUUUUCUAACACAGCCUUGUCCUGGACCCUCUCCUUUCCUUCCAAGGCAGGCAGAUGAUGAACCUGCCCAGGCUGCAGGCUCUGUGUUUCCUGGAGUUGGUGGACAUUCCGCUAGUGCCUGACUAGGGGCUCAUGAUGGCUCUCUCUGAAGUUGAUUGACUCCACAGCCUAAAACUGGUGAACUCCUUCUCAUCAGGUGGAUUCCUGCAGGCAGUAGUAGCCCAGCAUCUUCAGAAGCUCAGUAUGAGAGUGGGCUCCACAACCAAAGUAUUGUCUCAACUAGAAAGGAUGGAUUCCCUGCUAUAACUGGAACUAAAAUAUUCCUCCCACCACUGAAGACUUCGUCUCUGCCUCUAACAUUCUCUCUGUUUGCCUCAGAAUGCCAGGUUCCAAGUCCUCCGGCUCCCGGAAGUCCACACCUCAGACCAGGGGAGGGAGGAGGCCAGGGCUCCUCUGCAGGAGGUGCUGCUCCUCUGUGUGGUCACCUCCAAUUCCAGGCAACACUCAUCCACCAAGUGGUGGAAGCGAUAGCCCAGUGUGACUCAGGCCUCCUCCUCACCGUCCUCACCUACACACCCUGCGUCAUUUCUGUCCGUCCCCUCACUGCUGAAUGGUUAUCCCUCUGGGGUUCCAAUUUUUCAGAGGCAUUUUAAACCAUGAGAGGACAUAACUCACAUUAAACUGUGGUCAGGGAACAGACUUUUGAGCCAGAUACACGUGAGCGUGAAACAUAGUUCAACCAAUUAUAUGCUGUGUAGUUUUUGUUAAGUCACAUGCAUCCUAUCCAGGUUGGUUUCAUGAAAGGAAAAGUGACAAUAAUAAUGGCAAACGAGGGAAUUCCCUGGCGGUCCAGUGGUUAGGACUCUGCACUCUCACUGCCGAGGGCCCAAGUUCGGUCCCUGGUCGGGGAACUGAGAUCCCACAAGCCGCACGUGCUGCGGCCAGAAAAAAAGAAAAAAUAAUAAUAAGGCAAAUGAAUAAAUGGCAAGAUUAUAAGAAUACUCCUGUUACCUAAUAUGUGAUCAAUAUUGAUGACAUGUUUGGGUAGAGGGCUUUAGAUCUUCCAUAAGAGUUAUCCAUAGACUUUGUUGUCUGUACUUUCUGCUCAGUUUGCUUUGAACCUGAAACAACUCUAAAAAAAUAAAGCAUUUUUAGAAAAAGAAUGAAAGGAUAUCAUCUGUUUUCCUUAAUUCCAUAUAUGUGAUUUACCUAAUCAGUGAGAAAAUAUUUGAUUAAAAAGGCAUGCCUUGAUUAGAUCUACAUUGACUUGGCAUCCAAAUUAAUCAGGGUGUGUCUUUUGAUUUACAUGAUUGAUGAGAGUAUCAGCUGCUUAUAAAGAGGGAUUGCCAUCAAAAGCUGAUUUAUCUAGAGAGAGAAACUCUUGAGUUCCCUUGGGUGGUGACUGCAUCCUCAAUAAAGAGUUGGCUUCUUUGGCUUUUCCAUGGGUUUGGGUAAGUAGUAGAGAGAAUUUUUAUCAGGAAAGACAGACUCCGUUAUUUCAGAAGAGUUUAUAAUCAGGAAAUGAUGGUUUACAUGAGUGCAGCCACUUGGGGGCAAGUUUCCUUACUGUGGACAUAGAGUUUCUCUGUAUUUAUAAUUCAUAUGUAAUGGUCAGAGGUGAACUUGCCUAAUCUUACCAUGCAUAGGUAGAUUUAGACCACUGGGAGGGCAGAGUAUAAAUAAAUAUCUAAUGACUAAUUAGGUGAAUGGCCUCAAGGAGUGGUAGAGUUCUGUGUAAAUUGGGGCAGAGGGGAAGGGAAAGGUUUAAGUUGGUUGGAGUUUAGUGAAAGUCUCCUGCUAGUUGAGAUUUAAACUGAUGCUGACAUAAAAUGUGUAUGGGUGGAAAUGAAGGUUGAUGCCACUCCCCAGUGUAGAGAUAGCAGCAUGUGUGUGGGCUCAGCCGGGUUAUGCACACAUCAAUGCCAGGAUGUCUGGUGGAGCCGUUAACUAAGAUUGAAGACUAGAGGAGGAGUGAUUUUUGUAUUUGGAGGGGCAGAAGUAUUGUCCUGAGAAAUAUUUCGUUUCAGGUGUAUGUAAGUUUGCAAGGAGAGAUGAUAGCGCAGAAAUGGAAUCCAGACAAGAAGUUGGUCAUUUUCAACAGAGAUAGCAGUAGAAGAAAUUAGAGCAAUUGAAUAAAUGGGUGAGAGGAGAACAGGAGCUCCCAUUAGGUCUUGAGACGCUCCAAUAGGACCGAGGAAUUCUUUGUAGAGGACUGGGAGAAGGACUGAUAACAGAGUAGAUUGAAAACAGGAGAAUGAGGUGUCAGUUUAGGCUAGGAAGAAGUUCCAAAAAGGAGGUCAAGUUUCAACUUUUGUUUUCAGGGAAGAAUCUAUCUGCAGGGAGAUACUUGGUGAUAUUAACAAUAUGUAUGCAUAAGAUAAUCAUUGAGGGUCUUUGCAGGUCAAGGGAGAGGAGGACAUGAGGGCUGAUGGCUGUACUUCCAGCUUGAUGGUGAAGGGAGGAUAGAUGGGCAGGGACCUGAGAAAAAAUAGGUUCAGAGGAGAUUUUUGCUUCAAGUUAAAAGAGACAUAAUGAGCUUAACUGGUGAGGGGACUGAUGGACAGGUUUCUGGUAAAGGAGAACAAGAAAACAGGAGAGAAAGGAGUUCAGCUGGAGACGCUAGACUUAGCUAGUGGCAGCAUGACCCGUCAAUUUGAAGGGAGAAAAGGAGUAACCCAGGGGUAGGAAUGUAGGAGUAUCUGUAGCUGUCGUGAUGGGGAACCGAGUUACUUUGUCACAUCAUGUAAUCCGUCUGUGUUAUGACCUGAAUUGUGUGCCCCCAAAAGUCAAAUAUUGAAGCCGUCCUCAGACCUCAGAGUGUGAUGGUAUUUGGAGAUGAGGCCUUAAAAGCGGUGAUUAAGUUAAAAUGAGGUUCUUAGGGUGGGCCCUAAUCCAAUUUGGCUGGUGUCUUUGCAAGAAGAGGAGAUUAUGGCACAGACAUGUCCAGUGGGAAGACCAUGUGAAGACACAGGGAGAAGACAGCCAUCCAGAAGCUAAGAAGGGCGGCCUCGGAAGAGACCAACCCUGGCUUCACUUUGAUUUCGGACUUAGAGCCUCCAGAACUGUGAGAAAAUAAAUUUGUUUAAGCCACCCAGUCUGUGAUACUUUGUUACAACAGCCUUAGCAAACUAAUACAAUAUGUGUAGUAGGAAAUAACCUCAUCUUUUGAAAUGUGAAGAUUGUGUAGAUUCAAAAGUCAUGGUGACAAUUUGAAAUAUUUAUGGAGCAAAUAUUUGAAAUAUUUAUGUUUUUGCAAAACACAGUAGAGUUGCCAGAUAUAUUUGAAAACAACUAGGAGUAGUGAUUCUGUGUUUAGACAGGGGUCGACUUAGUAGUAGUGUGUGUCGGAUGCAGUCAUGGAAAAGGCAGGUACGAGGAGUCACCUGCUAUUGGGAUUUUGAUGGGGAAAUCCGGUUAAUAGUCCAAGGGACAUAGAAAAUGUUCUGGUCUUGGUAAGUGCCUGUUGAGUAAGUGUGGAUUAAACUGAGCAGAAAAAAUGUAGAGAGAUGUAGCUUGAUGUUUGAGAAGUGAAAUAAGUACAUUGGGGGUCCCCAUGUGGCAGAGGACCUGAGUUUGGGGUAUCAGAAGGCAGAGGGGUUGUAGUUACAGGUUGGGGCUCCUGAUUAAUGUCAGACGUGAUAUUCCAGGUAAAACCUGGAUGUGGUGUGUAUUGCGUAAGGAAUAUGAGCAUAGGAGAUAGGCAGAACAAAAUUAAAAUGAUAGACGUGUUACUUCUAGCUGUGACUUUGUUAUAUGAUUAAAUUUUUGGACCUCUUCUGUGUAUGUCAUUUGUUAUAUUGGUAAACUAAAAUCGCCAGGUUUAUUUUAAGGCCUAAAUGAGUGAAUAUACGUAAAUAUCCAAGCACUAAGUCAUGUUUGAUACAAACUUUUUUUUUUUUUUUUCUUUUUCUGGA